CAGCAGCCACGGUAAUACGUAGGUGGCAAGCGUUGUCCGGAUUUAUUGGGCGUAAAGCGAGCGCAGGCGGAAGAAUAAGUCUGAUGUGAAAGCCCUCGGCUUAACCGAGGAACUGCAUCGGAAACUGUUUUUCUUGAGUGCAGAAGAGGAGAGUGGAACUCCAUGUGUAGCGGUGGAAUGCGUAGAUAUAUGGAAGAACACCAGUGGCGAAGGCGGCUCUCUGGUCUGCAACUGACGCUGAGGCUCGAAAGCAUGGGUAGCGAACAGGAUUAGAUACCCCGGUAGUCCCUGUCUCUUAUAC
rnacentral:rRNA from 1 species